AACGAACGCUGGCGGCAUGCCUAACACAUGCAAGUCGAACGAGACCUUCGGGUCUAGUGUCGCACGGGUGCGUAACGCGUGGGAACCUGCCCUUAGGUUCGGACUAACUCCCCGAAAGGGGUGCUAAUACCGGAUAAUGUCUUCGGCCCAAAGAUUUAUCGCGUUUGGAUGGGCCCGCGUUGGAUUAGCUCGUUGGUAGGGUAAAAGCCUACCAAGGCGACGAUCCAUAGCUGGUCUGAGAGGAUGAUCAGCCACACUGGGACUGAGACACGGCCCAGACUCCUACGGGAGGCAGCAGUGGGGAAUAUUGGACAACGGGCGAAAGCCUGAUCCAGCAAUGCCGCGUGAGUGAUGAAGGCCUUAGGGUUGUAAAGCUCUUUUACCCGGGAUGAUAAUGACAGUACCGGGAGAAUAAGCUCCGGCUAACUCCGUG
rnacentral:rRNA from 1 species